UCCUUCGUGGUGUAAUGGUCAUCACAUUUGGUGAGUAUUCGAGAGAUCCUAGGUUCGAGUCCUGGCGAGGGCA
rnacentral:tRNA from 1 species